rnacentral:rRNA from 1 species
AGUAACACGUGGAUAACCUACCUAUAAGACUGGGAUAACUUCGGGAAACCGGAGCUAAUACCGGAUAAUAUUUUGAACCGCAUGGUUCAGAAGCGAAAGACGGUCUUGCUGUCACUUAUAGAUGGAUCCGCGCUGCAUUAGCUAGUUGGUAAGGUAACGGCUUACCAAGGCAACGAUGCAUAGCCGACCUGAGAGGGUGAUCGGCCACACUGGAACUGAGACACGGUCCAG